AUGAAUGACAGAUUUUUUUGCAGAAUGAAGGAGAGACUCUCUCUAGCAGGGCCCACAUGCCACGUAGCCAAGGAGGAGUUCACUGCAGCUCCCCUCAGGCAUCUUCCAGGCUCUUCAGCCUGUAAAAGCUGUCCUGCAGGUCAGCAAAGAGGAGGUGGUGGCUACUGGAUACCCAGCACACGGCCUGGCAGAGCACUCCAGUGCAUGCCUUCCUUCCCUGCCUGGUAACAGAUCUCCCUGGUCUUUGUCAACAGCAGCACAAACAAGUCGCCUUUUCUGCAACGUCCAGGACUUCCAUGAAUGCUGCAGAUGAAUCUUGUGGCUGUACUUGACCCACUGCUCUGUGACAGUGUUUGAGCUGUCAGAGCUCUGAGCAAGACCCUUCAGUCAACACAUGUAAUGUUUUAUUGAGAACCUUAGUACUGAACUCAUGUGUUUGGGGUUUGGUGGGUUUAUUUUUGUGGGUUUAUUUGGUUUUUUUUUCCCCCCCUAUUCUAUUAACUUGUAUUAAUGCUUCAUUUCUUUGUUAGAGUAACCCAAAUCAUCUUCAGCGUGUAGGAAUGCAGCAUGCAAGAAACAGAAUCUGCAAGGAGUACAGGACAUAGUAACAUCAUUCUUCUCUCCACAAAUGAACUCCAUGCAUCUUGUUUUUUGGAUAAGGAUGGGAACUAAAGGGGACUGCACACAGUUACUAGGACAUUUCAUUUUUUUAAAAAUAAGCUGUUCCUCAUUAGAGUGAAGUCAGGUCUUUCAUGUGCCGAAUCUGAAACUUCAAAAACAUGUUUGAUCAGUAAUUAUUCCAAAAUGCUAAGAAAAAUUCCAGAAACUAGUACAUAUAAUUUGGAUUAUAGUCUUCAUUAGAGUUUUCUAUGACAUGUAUUUGUCAGCCAUGAUUAUAAAAUUUGAAAAAGACUAUGGAGAAUUGAUAACUGAGCACAUCUCCCACCAGCAUAAUUGCAUAAAUAUAUCACAACAUACUUAUUUAUCAUGUCUAUUUAUUUUUUUUGGUUUUGUGUGUCACUUUUGAGCAGGAUGACCUAACAAUCCAUCAAGAAUACUAAAGUCUAUAACUUAAUAGUUUGAAAUUGAUUGUGGUACUGAUUUAAUAUUUGAAGAAGGAGGAUAAGACAGUAAACAAUGUGGGCAGACUUCAGCUCAUUUUCAGAGAGAAGCUUUAAUGUAGUUUUGUGCCAAAAUGAGCCACAGAUGUAAAUGCACUCAUGCAUUUUAGAUAAAGGAAAGUAUUAUUCAAACUGAGGGGAGUAAAAUCAAUUAUAGGUUAUAUGUUCCUUAGCAAACAGUUCUAUCAUUUCCAAUUCAGUCUCCAAUAAAGUAAUUCCUAGGAUAACCUCUCGCUGGCUG
rnacentral:lncRNA from 1 species